rnacentral:rRNA from 1 species
GACGAACGCUGGCGGCGUGCUUAACACAUGCAAGUCGAACGGAAAGGCCCUGCUUUUGUGGGGUGCUCGAGUGGCGAACGGGUGAGUAACACGUGAGUAACCUGCCCUUGACUUUGGGAUAACUUCAGGAAACUGGGGCUAAUACCGGAUAGGAGCUCCUGCUGCAUGGUGGGGGUUGGAAAGUUUCGGCGGUUGGGGAUGGACUCGCGGCUUAUCAGCUUGUUGGUGGAGUAGUGGCUUACCAAGGCUUUGACGGGUAGCCGGCCUGAGAGGGUGACCGGCCACAUUGGGACUGAGAUACGGCCCAGACUCCUACGGGAGGCAGCAAUGGGGAAUAUUGCACAAUGGGCGGAAGCCUGAUGCAGCAACGCCGCGUGCGGGAUGACGGCCUUCGGGUUGUAAACCGCUUUCGCCUGUGACGAAGCGUGAGUGACGGUAAUGGGUAAAGAAGCACCGGCUAACUACGUG